ensembl:lncRNA
GUAACUCAUGCACCAACCCCCUGAACCAAUUUUGCUAAACUACAAGCACAAUUCCUGCUUUACACUCACAUUGCAGUUCUAAAACACUUUUUUUUUUUUCAAAACACUACACACAAUUCUCUGCAUUUGGCACAAUUUUUGGGCAGAAAAAUCUCUUGUUUUCACAAGGAACACACUGCCAUUCAAAUAUGCACACUGACUCAUCACAUGGGCAAACACCUGUCACACAUUUUUACAAUUAGCAAACAGAGCUUUAGCAUAAAAGGGCAACAGGUGAGCUCUUCUGUUUUGGAGCAAUGGAUGCCAACAAUGGAAACAGAGGCAGAGCCAGAGGAGUGAGUGUAAGAGGAGGACGAGGAAGGCCAAGGACUGUAGACUCUAAUGAGAUCCGAGCCACUUUGGUUGACCAUGUGGUCAACCAUGGUCUAACAAUGAGGGAGGCUGGGCAAAGGGUACAGCCAAAUUUGAGCAGGUUCACUGUAGCAUCCUUCAUCCGGACUUUCCGAAAUGAGAAUAGAACUGAAAGAUUACCUACACAAGGUGGUCAGGAACGAGUUCUGUCUCCUGAACAGGAAACUGCAGUCAUGAACAUGGUCUUAGAAAAUAACACCAUAACAUUACAAUAUGCUGGCAUGGAGAACAGACACACGAGGAGGAUAUAAAUCAAAAGAGGAGUCUAAUGAACAUCAUCAGAGAGAGUCCUUGAGCUAGAGGUGGCUGCAGUGGAGCACUAAUUCAUCUUCAUUGAUGAGGUUGGAUUAAACCUCACAACAAGACGAAAGAGGGGAAGGAAUAUCAUCGGCCAUUGUGCCAUUGUUGAAGUCCCUGGCCAGCGCGGAGGGAACAUCACAAUGUGUGCAGUGAUUACCCACCAUGGCGUCAUCCAUCACCAUGCUACCCUUGGCCCCUACAACACUGCCCAUCUGAUCACAUUCCUGGACACUCUACACAACCCACUCAUUCCCCCAGAUCAGAUAGACGGCCCAGAGCAGCUCAGGCCCGGUGCACCCAGGAUGCAAUCUUCCCAGAUGUCCUUCACUCCAGUGCCGGGACAACACGGACCCUGGGUACACCCGCAGCGGAGGACAUGAACCAGUUACAAUAUCCGCGAGACGGAACGCGAUGCUGUGAUCGUCGGAGACUCCAUCGUCCAACACGUCCGUGCUACGUUAGCCAAAGGUAAAUUGCACACUCACUGUUUCCCUGGUGCUCGUGUUCUCGAUGUUUCUGUGCAGAUACCCGUGAUCCUGAAGGCCGACGAGAGCCCCAAAGCGGUCGUGCUUCACGCCACGGUUAACGACACCAUGCAGCGGCAGACGGAGACACUGAAGAGGGACUUCAGAAGCCUGAUCGAGACGGUGCGCAGCACAACGCUCGCGGCGACGAUCAUUGUGUCAGGACCACUGCCCACGUAUCGACGAGGACACGAAAGGAGCGUCCUAGGCUUUUUCGCUCUGAUGGCCUGCACCCCAGCAGAGCGGAACUCCUCUCCAACAACAUCUCCAAGACUCUACACUCCAUUUGACUAGAUUUACACAAGCUCCAGUCUGGAUCCAGAACACCUGAGAAGAGGUGAUGCCAACCCCGAUGAUGCUAACCCAGAGACAGCAUACAGAACUACCACAUUUUGCUAUAAGUUUGAUUGCAUAAUUGCUGGUAAUAGUGUUAAUCGUCUGUUUGUUUGACUUUUAUUGAUUUUUUCCGAACAUUUCUGCCGUAUGCACUUAAACUGACAGUCAC